UACGGAGGGUGCAAGCGUUAUCCGGAUUCACUGGGUUUAAAGGGUGCGUAGGCGAGCAGGUAAGUCAGUGGUGAAAUCUCCGGGCUUAACCCGGAAACUGCCGUUGAUACUAUCUGUCUUGAAUAUCGUGGAGGUAAGCGGAAUAUGUCAUGUAGCGGUGAAAUGCUUAGAUAUGACAUAGAACACCCAUUGCGAAGGCAGCUUACUACACGAUCAUUGACGCUGAGGCACGAAAGCGUGGGGAGCAAACAGG
rnacentral:rRNA from 1 species